rnacentral:rRNA from 1 species
GACGAACGCUGGCGGCGUGCUUAACACAUGCAAGUCGAACGGAAAGGCCGCUUUCGGGGGGUACUCGAGUGGCGAACGGGUGAGUAACACGUGAGUAACCUGCCGUUGAGUUUGGGAUAACUUCAGGAAACUGGGGCUAAUACCGUAUAGGAGCUCCUGCGGGAGGGUGGGGGUGGGAAAGUUUCGGCGGUUGGGGAUGGACUCGCGGCUUAUCAGCUUGUUGGUGGGGUAGUGGCUUACCAAGGCUUUGACGGGUAGCCGGCCUGAGAGGGUGACCGGCCACAUUGGGACUGAGAUACGGCCCAGACUCCUACGGGAGGCAGCAGUGGGGAAUAUUGCACAAUGGGCGGAAGCCUGAUGCAGCAACGCCGCGUGCGGGAUGACGGCCUUCGGGUUGUAAACCGCUUUCGCCUGUGACGAAGCGUGAGUGACGGUAAUGGGUAAAGAAGCACCGGCUAACUACGUG